UAGGCAUACCGCCUCUAAUACAUGCAAGUCGAGCGGACUGUUCCUUCGGGAACGGUUAGCGGCGGACGGGUGAGUAACACGUAGGCAACCUGCCUGUAAGAUCGGGAUAACUAUCGGAAACGAUAGCUAAGACCGGAUAGCUGGUCUUCUCGCAUGAGGGGAUCAUGAAACACGGGGCAACCUGUGGCUUACGGAUGGGCCUGCGGCGCAUUAUCUAGUUGGUAGGGUAACGGCCUACCAAGGCGACUAUGCGUAGCCGACCUGAGAGGGUGAUCGGCCACACUGGGACUGACACACGGCCCGAACUCCUACGGGAGGCAGCAGUAGGGAAUCUUCCGCAAUGGACGCAAGUCUGACGGAGCAACGCCGCGUGAGUGAUGAAGGUUUUCGGAUCGUAAAGCUCUGUUGCCAGGGAAGAACGCCUUAGAGAGUAACUGCUCUAAGGGUGACGGUACCUGAGAAGAAAGCCCCGGCUAACUACGUGCCAGCAGCCGCGGUAAUACGUAGGGGGCAAGCGUUGUCCGGAAUUAUUGGGCGUAAAGCGCGCGCAGGCGGUCAUUUAAGUUUGGUGUUUAAGCCCGGGGCUCAACCCCGGAUCGCACUGAAAACUGGGUGACUUGAGUGCGGAAGAGGAAAGUGGAAUUCCACGUGUAGCGGUGAAAUGCGUAGAGAUGUGGAGGAACACCAGUGGCGAAGGCGACUUUCUGGACCGUAUCUGACGCUGAGGCUCGAAAGCGUGCGGAGCAAACAGGAUUAGAUACCCUGGUAGUCCACGCCGUAAACGAUGAGUGCUACGUGUUAGGGGUUUCGAUACCCUUGGUGCCGAACUCAACACAGUAAGCACUCCGCCUGGGGAGCACGCUCGCAAGAGUGAAACUCAAAGGAAUUGACGGAGACCCGCACAGGCACUGGAGUAUGUGGUUUAAUUCGAAGCAACGCUAAAAGCCUUACCAAGUCUCGACCUCCCUCUGAAACCCCUAGAGAUAGGCGCCGGUCUUCGGGACAGACGUAGACAGGUGGUGCAUGGGUUGUCGUCAGCUCUGUCGUGACAUCGUUGGCGUGAAGAUCCUCGCAACGAGCGCCACCCACUUGGACUUUAGCUGUCGAGCAUUGCUGAUGGCCACUCUCUAGUAGGUGACCUGCCAGAGUGACCACGCGGGAGGGAAAGACCGGGAUGACGGUCGAGAUCAUUACAUGCAAUUAUGAGCGUGCGCUUAACACACCGGUUGAGCCUAUCACAAUUGCGCUCGCAGUUACACAUCUGGGCGAGGC
rnacentral:rRNA from 1 species